AGUGAACGCUGGCGGUAGGCCUAACACAUGCAAGUCGAACGGCAGCACAGUAAGAGCUUGCUCUUACGGGUGGCGAGUGGCGGACGGGUGAGGAAUACAUCGGAAUCUACUUUUUCGUGGGGGAUAACGUAGGGAAACUUACGCUAAUACCGCAUACGACCUACGGGUGAAAGCAGGGGAUCUUCGGACCUUGCGCGAUUGAAUGAGCCGAUGUCGGAUUAGCUAGUUGGCGGGGUAAAGGCCCACCAAGGCGACGAUCCGUAGCUGGUCUGAGAGGAUGAUCGGCCACACUGGAACUGAGACACGGUCCAGACUCCUACGGGAGGCAGCAGUGGGGAAUAUUGGACAAUGGGCGCAAGCCUGAUCCAGCCAUACCGCGUGGGUGAAGAAGGCCUUCGGGUUGUAAAGCCCUUUUGCUGGGAAAGAAAAGCAGCAGGUUAAUACCCCGCUGUUCUGACGGUACCCAAAGAAUAAGCACCGGCUAACUUCGUG
rnacentral:rRNA from 1 species